GGAGAGAUGGGUGAGUGGCUGAAACCAACGGUUUGCUAAACCGUCGUACCUGUCAAAGGGUACCGGGGGUUCGAAUCCCCCUCUCUCCG
rnacentral:tRNA from 1 species